CUUUGUUACUUGUUUUUUUCA
rnacentral:miRNA from 1 species